rnacentral:lncRNA from 1 species
UUUAAUGUGAUAUAAUUCUUCAUGUGAUCUGUGAUAGCCUUAUUAUGUAUGGCAACAUUAAUUUUAUUGAUGGAGUCAAUUUAGGGGAAAGUGUGGUAUGCUAGAUUAUGAUUUGUUUUAGUAAAAAAAAAAAUAAAAAUAAAUUAUGAUUUGAUUCUGUUCCUUUAUAAUUUUACUUUUUUCCUAUUUGUUUGACCAAUUGGCUUCAUGAUUUUUUUCCCGUAUUAAACCCCUGAUUCCUAGAGGGUCAAGGGAAGGGAACCCUGGUAAUCUAGAGUUCGGCUAAGCA